UGAAGGAUGAAGGCCUUCUGGGUUGUAAACUUCUUUUAUCUGGGAAGAAACCUCCGAUUUCUAUUGGAGCCGACGGUACCAGAUGAAUAAGCACCGGCUAACUCCGUGCCAGCAGCCGCGGUAAUACGGAGGGUGCAAGCGUUAUCCGGAUUCACUGGGUUUAAAGGGUGUGUAGGCGGGCUAUUAAGUCAGUGGUGAAAUCUCUGAGCUCAACUCAGAAACUGCCGUUGAUACUAUUAGUCUUGAAUAUCGAUGAGGUAGGCGGAAUAUGUCAUGUAGCGGUGAAAUGCUUAGAUAUGACAUAGAACACCGAUUGCGAAGGCAGCUUACUAAACGAUCAUUGACGCUGAGGCACGAAAGCGUGGGGAUCAAACAGGAUUAGAUACCCUGGUAGUCCACGCCCUAAACGA
rnacentral:rRNA from 1 species